rnacentral:rRNA from 1 species
GACGAACGCUGGCGGCGUGCUUAACACAUGCAAGUCGAACGAAGAGCGAUGGAAGCUUGCUUCUAUCACUCUUAGUGGCGAACGGGUGAGUAACGCGUAAUCAACCUGCCCUUCAGAGGGGGACAACAGUUGGAAACGACUGCUAAUACCGCAUACGAUCUAACCUCGGCAUCGAGGAUAGAUGAAAGGUGGCCUCUACAUGUAAGCUAACACUGAAGGAGGGGAUUGCGUCUGAUUAGCUAGUUGGAGGGGUAACGGCCCACCAAGGCGAUGAUCAGUAGCCGGUCUGAGAGGAUGAACGGCCACAUUGGGACUGAGACACGGCCCAGACUCCUACGGGAGGCAGCAGUGGGGAAUCUUCCGCAAUGGACGAAAGUCUGACGGAGCAACGCCGCGUGAGUGAUGACGGCCUUCGGGUUGUAAAGCUCUGUUAAUCGGGACGAAAGGCCUUCUUGCGAAUAGUUAGAAGGAUUGACGGUACCGGAAUAGAAAGCCACGGCUAACUACGUG